rnacentral:rRNA from 1 species
UACGUAGGGGGGCAAGCGUUGUCCGGAAUCAUUGGGCGUAAAGCGCGUGUAGGCGGCUCGAUAAGUCUGCUGUGAAAGUUCAGGGCUCAACCCUGAAAUGCCGGUGGAAACUGUCGAGCUAGAGUACGGAAGAGAUGAGUGGAAUUCCUGGUGUAGCGGUGAAAUGCGCAGAUAUCAGGAGGAACACCAAUGGCGAAGGCAGCUCACUGGGACGUUACUGACGCUCAGGCACGACAGCGUGGGGAUCAAACAGG